CCGGAGGCAGCUCACGCGCCGGCGCGUGGCGGAGGUGGGCGGCGGUGCGGUGGCGCGUGAGCCUCACGCGCAGGGCAGAUCGGCGCCGGAUUUCGCAGGGAGGGUCGCCGGACGCCGGCGAUCCUUCGUGGGUGGGCGGUGAUGACAGCGGAGCGAAAA